rnacentral:rRNA from 1 species
UACGUAGGGUGCGAGCGUUAAUCGGAUUUAUUGGGCGUAAAGAGCUCGUAGGCGGCUCGGUAAGUGAGGUGUGAAAACUCCAGGCUCAACCUGGAGACGCCACCUCACACUGCCGUGGCUAGAGUCCGGUAGGGGAGCAUGGAAUUCCUGGUGUAGCGGUGAAAUGCGCAGAUAUCAGGAGGAACACCAGUGGCGAAGGCGGUGCUCUGGGCCGGAACUGACGCUGAGGAGCGAAAGCGUGGGGAGCAAACAGG